rnacentral:rRNA from 1 species
AACACAUGCAAGUCGAGCGCGACCUUCGGGUUGAGCGGCGGACGGGUUAGUAACGCGUGGGAAUAUGCCCAAAGGUACGGAAUAGCCUCUGGAAACGGAGAGUAAUACCGUAUGUGCCCUUCGGGGGAAAGAUUUAUCGCCUUUGGAUUAGCCCGCGUUAGAUUAGGUAGUUGGUGGGGUAAUGGCCUACCAAGCCUACGAUCUAUAGCUGGUUUUAGAGGAUGAUCAGCAACACUGGGACUGAGACACGGCCCAGACUCCUACGGGAGGCAGCAGUGGGGAAUCUUGGACAAUGGGCGCAAGCCUGAUCCAGCCAUGCCGCGUGAGUGAUGAAGGCCUUAGGGUCGUAAAGCUCUUUCGCCAGGGAUGAUAAUGACAGUACCUGGUAAAGAAACCCCGGCUAACUCCGUGCCAGCAGCCGCGGUAAUACGGAGGGGGUUAGCGUUGUUCGGAAUUACAGGGCGUAAAGCGCGCGUAGGCGGAUCGGAAAGUUGGGGGUGAAAUCCCGGGGCUCAACCCCGGAACUGCCUCCAAAACUAUCGGUCUAGAGUUCGAGAGAGGUGAGUGGAAUUCCGAGUGUAGAGGUGAAAUUCGUAGAUAUUCGGAGGAACACCAGUGGCG